UAACCUGCCUUGGAGUGGGGAAUAACACAUCGAAAGAUGUGCUAAUACCGCAUAAUGCAGUUGGGCCGCAUGGCUCUGGCUGCCAAAGAUUUAUCGCUCUGAGAUGGACUCGCGUCUGAUUAGCUGGUUGGCGGGGUAACGGCCCACCAAGGCGACGAUCAGUAGCCGGACUGAGAGGUUGACCGGCCACAUUGGGACUGAGACACGGCCCAGACUCCUACGGGAGGCAGCAG
rnacentral:rRNA from 1 species